UGGGGAAUAUUGGACAAUGGGGGCAACCCUGAUCCAGCCAUGCCGCGUGUGUGAAGAAGGCCUUUUGGUUGUAAAGCACUUUAAGCAGGGAGGAGAGGCUAAUGGUUAAUACCCAUUAGAUUAGACGUUACCUGCAGAAUAAGCACCGGCUAACUCUGUGCCAGCAGCCGCGGUAAUACAGAGGGUGCGAGCGUUAAUCGGGAUUACUGGGCGUAAAGCGAGUGUAGGUGGCUCAUUAAGUCACAUGUGAAAUCCCCGGGCUUAACCUGGGAACUGCAUGUGAUACUGGUGGUGCUAGAAUAUGUGAGAGGGAAGUAGAAUUCCAGGUGUAGCGGUGAAAUGCGUAGAGAUCUGGAGGAAUACCGAUGGCGAAGGCAGCUUCCUGGCAUAAUAUUGACACUGAGAUUCGAAAGCGUGGGUAGCAAACAGGAUUAGAUACCCUGGUAGUCCACGCCGUAAACGAUGUCUACUAGCCGUUGGGGUCCUUGAGACUUUAGUGGCGCAGUUAACGCGAUAAGUAGACCGCCU
rnacentral:rRNA from 1 species